AAUUACUAGUGAGAUAUUUCAGAUUCUUAUUCUUGGUAAUGUCAGCUUUUAUAUAUUGCAAGAAAUGGAAACUUGUGGCUGUGUCAUUUCAUAUAAACCAUUACUCUCUCUUUGUGCCUUCUAGGUGCUGGCAGCUGGGGUCACUGCACUUACAGGGAAGCUGAUGGUUCAUACCAUCACCUCUUCCACUGAGUAGUUUGGUUUUCAGUAUUUUCACCAGCUCUGAACAGGCCAAGGACUUCAUACAGCUGAUCACACUUGCUGCAUCUGUGUUUUUUCUCUGAAGCUAGCCUUCAGCUUGAACUUGGGCAAACGCACGUGAACAUCAGUGGAAUAUAGAUGCUCUGGACAUGUCCAUUCCUGGAGCUUCUCUAAGGACUUCUGGAUUUGAUGGUUUCUGGUUCCUUUCCUCAAGCAGCUGGAUUUGUGCAUCUGCCACCAGGAACCAGGCCAGCAGCCCAGGAAGUUACAACUGCUGUCCCAAGCCAGCUGCACGGAGGAGUCUGCAUCAAAAUUGGGUAUUUCCACAGAGACUUCCUACAGCAACGGCAAAGUAACGUUAUCUGCUGCCACUGCCAUUCAGGUGAACGCCCCACACCUUUG